AAGCGAGUGGUUCCAUUUUGGAAAUGUAAUGGAGGACUGGUCACUACGCAGCGGUCAGUGCACUCUUGGCUAUUAACGUUUUUCCAGCAACCUGUAUUAAAUGGAGGACACAGAGAAUCCGAAGCAGUAUUCUCCGUGAUUGCAGCGAAUCGUGGAGUUCUCAGGAAAGAUACGCCCCUCUCCACCAUCUUUCAUGUGUUUGGCACUAACUUGCUGUUCUAUGGCCAUCGGUUGUUUUGAAAAUAGCUCAUCCAGCAUUAGAGGAAUGCAGAUAACGUCUAUCUCAGAAGGGAGCUCAACUUGGAAGAUUACAUCCAAGGUCAAUUCUUCAAGACUUCUUCUAUAUCUUUGUG